GACGGAGGAUGCAAGUGUUAUCCGGAAUCACUGGGCGUAAAGCGUCUGUAGGUGGUUUAAAAAGUCCACUGUUAAAAAUUGAAGCUUAACUUCAAAGAUGCCGUGGAAACUUUUAAACUUGAGUAUGAUAGGGGUAGAGGGAAUUCCAGUGGAGCGGUGAAAUGCGUAGAUAUUGGAAAGACCACCAAUGGCGAAGGCACUCUACUGGGCCAUUACUGACACUGAGAGACGAAAGCUAGGGGAGCGAAUGGG
rnacentral:rRNA from 1 species